AUCCAGUUGAUGAGUCCCAAAUAGGACGGAACGUGCUUCCUGGAU
rfam:Schistosoma mansoni strain Puerto Rico chromosome 1, complete genome